CCGGUUUGUGCAUGUUGACAAUAAUUGAAAUGUCAUAUGCGAUUAAUCGAAACGCGGCGAAAUACUAUCAAUAUAUCGAUAAAAAUAAUCAUGGAUGAACAACAUGGAAAUCGUUGAAUCCAUAAAUUAAAAUCGAUGUUUAACAUUAAAAUCAACAAGUGUUUUUUUUAAAAAAGGGAGAAAAAAUAAAAAUAAAAGGUUUAAAAUAAUAAAAAGUGGUAAUAAUAAUAAAAACUAAUAAAGAAUAGAAAAUAUGUUAAAAAUGAAAAAUGCUGCCAACCAAGGAUCGAACCCAGAACCUAAGAUUUAACAAACAAUAUUCCUACCACUGGACUAGAACUAUCUGUGUUAUACAGUUUCAAACACUAAUACAUA
rnacentral:lncRNA from 1 species